GCCAUAAUCGUGCCACUGAAUUCCAGCCCGGGUGACAGAGACCUUGUCUUGAAAGAACAAAACAAGAAUCCUUAUCUUUUACAGAUAUAUACCAAGACAUUCAGGGAGGAAAUUAUAUGAUAUGUGGGAUUUGCUAUAAAAUAACAAGAGACGAAGAGGAGAAGCAUGCAGGAGUGUACAUGAAACAAGAUUGACCACGAGAUAACAAAUAUCUGAAUCUGCUGAUGAGGAAGUGAAAGCUCACUACACUAGCCUCUCGUUUAAAAUGCUCCAGAAUAGAAAGUUUGUCUGAAAAUCCUCUUCACGGGUUUGUAGCAAGCAUUGAAUAAGAUCAUGUAUACAGAGUGCUUUAUAACCAUGGCUUACAGGUAGUCAGCACACAUUGUUUUCAGUUUUGUAUACUCCCUGUCCAUUAAUCACAUCCAAAAAAGAUAUGUUAUUCACACUAAGAGCUCUGGCCCAUGGACCUUUGUCCACUUGGUGGUAAUUUAUUGAAAUUUGGGGUUUAGAAUGAGGAAAUGCCAGCCUUCAGAGCCCCAGGCCUACUAUGCAACAGCAAAGCCAACAGUCCCAAAUUCCUUCCUAGCACACCUAGUGAGUAGGAUCACUUUCCUCUCACCUUGUAGGCAUACUUGAGUUCAUUCACUCAUUCAUUCACUAUUUUUCAUUCAUUUCUUAUGUGCCAGGUAUUGGGUGCUAGGGAUCCAUAAUACAGUGAACCCAUAAUUGACUGCAAGCAUCACUUUCAAAGCAUCAUUUCAGGAUGAGUAUUUAAGUGCCAAGUGAAUUCAAGGAACAGUGCAAAGGAUCUAUGGCCUCAGUCACCAUGAAGACCCUCCCAAGAGCCAGCCCUACUGGGCACAUAUAAAUGAGUGGAGACCUGGAAUUCACCCUUACAAAGCCUAGAACCUGACAGAGCACACAAGACAAAAGCCUAAAUAACAAGAACAGGGAGCAGAAUGUGAGAGGUAGGCCCCAAAGCAUUCAGCCACCAAGGUGGAGAAAGUAAUGUGUGCAGAGUGGGGAGUAGUCAGGUUUGGCUGAAGAAAGCAGGCAUUUGGGGAGAGGUGGAAACUGAGGCCGGAAUGGUCUCCUAGGGCCCUGUAUGGAGAAGGUCAGGUUCAGGCAUCUGAAUCCCAUUCAGUAGCAAGAGUCACUCCACGGUGCCAAGCAAGGGCUAACAGGCUUAGGACAAGAUUCAGGAAGAGGCCUCUUGCAGCAAGUGGCCAAGCCCAGCGACCACUCAUGGAAGGCCUAUCCCCACCUGGCACUGCACCUUCAAGUUCACAUCACAUGGCCAUGUGCACAUUCAUACACAACCACGUGCAUGUUCACAUGCAUGUUCACACACAGUCAUAUGCAUAUUCACACAACCAUGUGCACAUUUACACGUGGCCAAAUGCAUGCUAAUGCACAAUCAUAUGCAUGUUCACACACCACCAUGUGCACAUUGAAACAUGACCAUAUGCAUAUUCACAGAUUUGUAAGACCUGAGACGGACGUGUGUUUUGGGAGAUCCAGCUUUAGGAUACGGGCUCACUGUCUCAGCACAUGCAGACCAGGCCUGAACUCUAUUCAGGAAAGCUGCCUGCCAGUUUAUAGGAGGGCUUAGCAAACCUUUUCCAUGAAGAGCCAGUUAGGAAAUGUUUGAGGCUUUGCAGAACACGUGGUCUCUUGCAGCUACUCAACUCACUAAAGCAACAAUGGACAACACAUCCGUGAAGGAGCAUGGCGUGUUCUGCUGCCACCAGCACCCACUCCAGCCAUUAAAGCCAGAAAGCUGAAAGACGUCUGCCCUCAUCUGGCCCAGCCCCAUCCAGCCAAAGACCUGUCAUUUAAACCUCACGCCCACCCCGCUUUCCACUCCCACUGCUCCUGCCUUAGUUCAGACCACCACCGUCGCUCUCCUACCUAGUUCAAGCCAAGCUGACCUGGCCAGUGGCCUUCAGGCCUGCCCUUCUCCAUCCUGCCAUGUCCAUCCUCCACAGGCAGAACAGGAAGCUGUCAUUUAAAAGUGCAGGUCUGCGUUGGUCCUUCUCCUAAUGAAACCCUUCAGUGGCUUCCCGGUUCCCUUUGGGUCCUGGUACAGAUUCCUUAGCAUGGCCAGGGAGGACAGUCCUCCAUGAUCCUCCCCUCCCUGAGAUGCUCCUCCUGCCCCAGCACCCUGUGUUUGAGCCCAAGCCUGCCCUGUGGCAUCGCGGGAGGCCCAGCUCCUCGGCCUGGGGUGCCUUGCCUGGCCUAGGAACUGGGAAAACUUACCUGCUUCCAAGACUCAGCUCUAGCACCUCUUCCUGCUGGGUGUUUUCCGAUGCCCCUCCUCUCGCCACCUCAUGGGGACCCCGCAGUCCCCUGAAGAGCCUUCUGCCCCAGUGCCUCACCCCACUCUUUAGACUUGUUUCUGUUUCCAUGGCUGCCUCGCCUUCUUAGACCAUGGGCUCCUGCAGAGCGGGACCCCAUAUCUCAGUCGGCUUUGCAUUCCCAGUGCCUGGCCAAAAUGGGGCUGGAAUGGUCUCCUAUUCCAUAAGCACUCAUCCCUUGAAAAAUGACUGGAAUCCUGGACAGCGCCGAGGCAGCAACUGGGACGGGAGAGUGAUCUGUUGCCCUCUCCUGGCAAUGUGAUGAGGAAUUGUCCUAAGCACAGACAACUCCCUCCCUGCCUUGCAAAAAACAAGUGCAGGAUGGGGGAAACUGGAAAAGGAGCUGAUGGAGGAUUGGGGAGGUGGAUGCUGUCUAAGGAGACAAACUGAAUUGAGGGGUUGCUGGGACUCUGCCGGCUCACACGCUAUUCCCAUGUAAUGGGCCCAGGGGCCAGGUCAGUGUUUCCAAAGGAGGGUGCAUCCUGAGAGAGCCUCUGGCUCCCCGACCAAACCCUAAACUCUUGAAGGACAUCUUCCUUCUUAAUAUACCCUAUUGGAGUGUUGUUGUAACUAUCACUGUAACUUUUAUUCACUUCAGCGGGCGAUCACUGAGUUUUUCCUCCAUUGCUGUAAAACACGUUUUGCUCUUGUGUGUAAAAUGACUGUGAAGUUAA